rnacentral:rRNA from 1 species
UAAACUAGGAUUAGAUACCCUAUUAUUUUAAAUGUAAAUAUUUAUUUAUGGUAUUAAUAGUUAAGAUCUUUAAAUUAAAAGAAUUUGACGGUGAUUUAAUCAUUUUAGAGGAACCUGCCCUGUAAUUGAUAAUCCACGAUAAAUUUUACUUUAAUUAUGGUUUGUAUAUCUCUGUUUAUUGAAUGUUUUAUUAGAAUAAUUUUCUUUAAUUUAUAUAAAAAAUAUAUCAGGUCAAGGUGCAGCUAUAUUAGAGCUUGAGGUGGGUUACAUUAGUUUAAUUACUAUAGAUUAUAUUAUGCAUGUAAUAUAUGAAAUUGGAUUUAAUUGUAAUUUGUAUUAUAU